AACGAACGCUGGCGGCAUGCCUAACACAUGCAAGUCGAACGAGACCUUCGGGUCUAGUGGCGCACGGGUGCGUAACGCGUGGGAACCUGCCCUUAGGUUCGGAAUAACUCCCCGAAAGGGGUGCUAAUACCGGAUAAUGUCUUCGGACCAAAGAUUUAUCGCCUUUGGAUGGGCCCGCGUUGGAUUAGCUAGUUGGUAGGGUAAAAGCCUACCAAGGCGACGAUCCAUAGCUGGUCUGAGAGGAUGAUCAGCCACACUGGGACUGAGACACGGCCCAGACUCCUACGGGAGGCAGCAGUGGGGAAUAUUGGAAAAUGGGCGAAAGCCUGAUCCAGCAAUGCCGCGGGAGGGAUGAAGGCCUUAGGGUUGUAAAGCUCUUUUACCCGGGAUGAUAAUGACAGUACCGGGAGAAUAAGCUCCGGCUAACUCCGUG
rnacentral:rRNA from 1 species